rnacentral:rRNA from 1 species
UACGUAGGGUGCAAGCGUUGUCCGGAAUUAUUGGGCGUAAAGAGCUCGUAGGCGGUCUGUCGCGUCUGCUGUGAAAACUCAGGGCUUAACCCUGAGCUUGCAGUGGGUACGGGCAGACUAGAGUGCGGUAGGGGGAGACUGGAAUUCCUGGUGUAGCGGUGAAAUGCGCAGAUAUCAGGAGGAACACCGGUGGGCGAAGGCGGGUCUCUGGGCCGUAACUGACGCUGGAGGAGCGAAAAGCAUGGGGGAGCGAACAGG